GACGAACGCUGGCGGCGUGCGUAAUACAUGCAAGUCGAGCGGGCGGGGGUUUCGGCCCCUGUUAGCGGCGGACGGGUGAGUAACGCGUGAGUGACCUGGCCGGAGGUGGGGGAUAACUGCCCGAAAGGGUGGCUAAUCCUGCAUGUGACCCGUCGGUCGGACGGCGGGGGAAAGCUCGAGAGGGCGCCUUCGGGGGGGCUCGCGUCCCAUUAGGUGGUUGGUGGGGUAGUGGCCUACCAAGCCGGUGAUGGGUAGCUGGUCUGAGAGGAUGGCCGGC
rnacentral:rRNA from 1 species